UACGAAGGGUGCUAGCGUUGUUCGGAAUUACUGGGCGUAAAGGGCGUGUAGGCGGCCGUAUAAGUCAGAUGUGAAAGCCCCGGGCUUAACCUGGGAAUUGCAUUUGAGACUGUAUGGCUAGAGAUCGAGAGAGGAAAGUGGAAUUACGAGUGUAGAGGUGAAAUUCGUAGAUAUUCGUAAGAACACCAGUGGCGAAGGCGACUUUCUGGCUCGAAACUGACGCUAAGGCGCGAAAGCGUGGGGAGCAAACAGG
rnacentral:rRNA from 1 species